UACGGGGGGGGGCAAGCGUUGUUCGGAAUUACUGGGCGUAAAGGGCUCGUAGGUGGCCAACUAAGUCAGACGUGAAAUCCCUCGGCUUAACCGGGGAACUGCCUCUGAUACUGGAUGGCUUGAGAUUGGGAGAGGGAUGCGGAAUUCCUGGUGUAGCGGUGAAAUGCGCAGAUAUCAGGAAGAACACCCGUGGCGAAAGCGGCUCUCUGGAACGGUACUGACGCUGAGACGCGAAAGCGUGGGGAGCGAACAGG
rnacentral:rRNA from 1 species